rnacentral:rRNA from 1 species
GGGUGAGUAAUGUAUCGGAACGUACCUUUCAGUGGGGGAUAACGUAGCGAAAGUUACGCUAAUACCGCAUAUUCUGUGAGCAGGAAAGCAGGGGAUCGCAAGACCUUGCGCUGAUUGAGCGGCCGAUAUCAGAUUAGCUAGUUGGUGAGGUAAAGGCUCACCAAGGCGACGAUCUGUAGCGGGUCUGAGAGGAUGAUCCGCCACACUGGAACUGAGACACGGUCCAGACUCCUACGGGAGGCAGCAGUGGGGAAUUUUGGACAAUGGGCGCAAGCCUGAUCCAGCCAUGCCGCGUGAGUGAAGAAGGCCUUCGGGUUGUAAAGCUCUUUCAGCCGGGAAGAAAACGCAUGGGUUAAUACCCUGUGUGGAUGACGGUACCGGAAUAAGAAGCACCGGCUAACUACGUGCCAGCAGCCGCGGUAAUACGUAGGGUGCGAGCGUUAAUCGGAAUUACUGGGCGUAAAGCGUGCGCAGGCGGUUUGUUAAGAUAGGCGUGAAAUCCCCGGGCUCAACCUGGGAACUGCGUUUAUGACUGGCAGGCUAGAGUAUGGCAGAGGGGGGUGGAAUUCCACGUGUAGCAGUGAAAUGCGUAGAGAUGUGGAGGAACACCGAUGGCGAAGGCAGCCCCCUGGGCCAAUACUGACGCUCAUGCACGAAAGCGUGGGUAGCAAACAGGAUUAGAUACCCUGGUAGUCCACGCCCUAAACGAUGUCAACUAGGUGUUGGGAGGGUAAAACCUUUUAGUACCGGAGCUAACGCGUGAAGUUGACCGCCUGGGGAGUACGGCCGCAAGGUUAAAACUCAAAGGAAUUGACGGGGACCCGCACAAGCGGUGGAUGAUGUGGAUAUAUUCGAUGCAACGCGAAAAACCUUACCUACCCUUGACAUGUCCAGAAGCUCUUAGAGAUUUGAGUGUGCCCGAAAGGGAGCUGGAACACAGGUGCUGCAUGGCUGUCGUCAGCUCGUGUCGUGAGAUGUUGGGUUAAGUCCCGCAACGAGCGCAACCCUUGUCGUUAAUUGCCAUCAUUUAGUUGGGCACUUUAACGAGACUGCCGGUGACAAACCGGAGGAAGGUGGGGAUGACGUCAAGUCCUCAUGGCCCUUAUGGGUAGGGCUUCACACGUCAUACAAUGGUCGGUACAAAGGGUCGCCAACCCGCGAGGGGGAGCCAAUCCCAGAAAGCCGAUCGUAGUCCGGGUCGUAGGCUGCAACUCGCCUGCGUGAAGUCGGAAUCGCUAGUAAUCGUGGAUCAGCAUGUCACGGUGAAUACGUUCCCGGGUCUCGUACACACCGCCCGUCACACCAUGGGAGCGGGUCCCGCCAGAAGUAGGUAGCCUAACCGCAAGGGGGGCGCUUACCACGGCGGGGUUCGUGACUGGGGUGAAGUCGUAACAAGGUA